rnacentral:rRNA from 1 species
UACGUAGGGUCCGAGCGUUGUCCGGAUUUAUUGGGCGUAAAGAGCUCGUAGGCGGCUCAGUAAGUCAGAUGUGAAAACUCAGGGCUCAACCCGGAGACGCCAUCUGAUACUGCUGUGGCUUGAGUCUGGUAGGGGAUCACGGAAUUCCUGGUGUAGCGGUGAAAUGCGCAGAUAUCAGGAGGAACACCGAUAGCGAAGGCAGUGAUCUGGGCCAGUACUGACGCUGAGGAGCGAAAGCGUGGGUAGCAAACAGG